rnacentral:rRNA from 1 species
GUGGGGAAUAUUGCGCAAUGGGAGAAAUCCUGACGCAGCGACGCCGCGUGAGUGAUGAAGGCCUUCGGGUUGUAAAGCUCUGUUUAGCGGGAAGAACAACUUGAGUCUAAUAAAUUCAAGUUUUGACGGUACCGCUAGAGGAAGCACCGGCUAACUCCGUGCCAGCAGCCGCGGUAAUACGGAGGGUGCAAGCGUUGAUCGGAAUUAUUGGGCGUAAAGCGUGAGUAGGUUGUUUGUUAAGUCGAAUGUGAAAUCUCUAGGCUCAACUUAGAAAGUGCAUUUGAUACUGGCAGACUAGAGCAUAAGAGAGGGUGAUGGAAUUCCCAGUGUAGGGGUAAAAUCCGUAGAUAUUGGGAGGAACACCGGAGGCGAAGGCGGUCACCUGGCUUAUUGCUGACACUCAGUCACGAGAGCGUGGGGAGCAAACAGGAUUAGAAACCCCAGUAGUCC